CAGUAGCCGCGGUAAUACAAGGGGGGCAAGCGUUGUUCGGAAUUAUUGGGCGUAAGGGGUGCGUAGGCGGUUUGGCAAGUUUCGUGUGAAAACUUCGGGCUCAACCCGAAGCCUGCACGGAAAACUGCCGGGCUUGAGUAUGGGAGAGGUGAGUGGAAUUUCCGGUGUAGCGGUGAAAUGCGUAGAUAUCGGAAGGAACACCUGUGGCGAAAGCGGCUCACUGGACCAUAACUGACGCUGAGGCACGAAAGCUAGGGGAGCAAACAGGAUUAGAGACCCCCGUAGUCCCUGUCUCUUAUAC
rnacentral:rRNA from 1 species